GAUGAACGCUGGCGGCGUGCCUAACACAUGCAAGUCGAACGGAGUCCAGCCUUUAAGACCUUCGGGUCAAAGAGUGGAAGACUGAGUGGCGGACGGGUGAGUAACACGUGGGCAACCUGGCUCAUAGAGGGGGAUAACAGAGAGAAAUUUCUGCUAAUACCGCAUAAGCACACACUGCCGCAUGGCAGAGGGUGAAAAGAGAAUCGCUAUGAGAUGGACCCGCGUCUGAUUAGCCAGUUGGCAGGGUAAGAGCCUACCAAAGCGACGAUCAGUAGCCGAUCUGAGAGGAUGAACGGCCACAUUGGGACUGAGACACGGCCCAAACUCCUACGGGAGGCAGCAGUGGGGGAUAUUGCACAAUGGGGGGAACCCUGAUGCAGCGACGCCGCGUGAGUGAAGAAGUAUUUCGGUAUGUAAAGCUCUAUCAGCAGGGAAGAUAAUGACAGUACCUGAAUAAGAAGCCCCGGCUAACUACGUG
rnacentral:rRNA from 1 species